UACGGGGGGAGCAAGCGUUGUUCGGAUUUACUGGGCGUAAAGGGCGCGUAGGCGGCCACUGCAAGUCGGUUGUGAAAUCUCCGGGCUUAACCCGGAAAGGUCAGCCGAUACUGCAGGGCUAGAGUGCAGAAGGGGCAACUGGAAUUCUCGGUGUAGCGGUGAAAUGCGUAGAUAUCGAGAGGAACACCUGCGGCGAAGGCGGGUUGCUGGGCUGACACUGACGCUGACAGCGCGAAAGCGUGGGGAGCGAACAGG
rnacentral:rRNA from 1 species